UACGAAGGGGGCUAGCGUUGCUCGGAAUUACUGGGCGUAAAGGGCGCGUAGGCGGCUUACACAGUCAGGCGUGAAAUUCCUGGGCUUAACCUGGGGGCUGCGUUUGAUACUUGUAGGCUAGAGGAUGGAAGAGGGUCGUGGAAUUCCCAGUGUAGAGGUGAAAUUCGUAGAUAUUGGGAAGAACACCGGUGGCGAAGGCGGCGACCUGGUCCAUUACUGACGCUGAGGCGCGACAGCGUGGGGGAGCAAACAGG
rnacentral:rRNA from 1 species